rnacentral:rRNA from 1 species
CCUACGGGAGGCAGCAGUAGGGAAUAUUGCUCAAUGGGGGAAACCCUGAAGCAGCAACGCCGCGUGGAGGAUGAAGGUUUUCGGAUUGUACACUCCUUUUGUUAGAGAAGAUAAUGACGGUAACUAACGAAUAAGCACCGGCUAACUCCGUGCCAGCAGCCGCGGUAAUACGGAGGGUGCAAGCGUUACUCGGAAUCACUGGGCGUAAAGAGCGCGUAGGCGGGAUAUCAAGUCAGAUGUGAAAUCCUAUGGCUUAACCAUAGAACUGCAUUUGAAACUGUUAUUCUAGAGAAUGGGAGAGGUAGGUGGAAUUCUUGGUGUAGGAGUAAAAUCCGUAGAGAUCAAGAGGAAUACUCAUUGCGAAGGCGACCUGCUAGAACAUAACUGACGCUGAUGCGCGAAAGCGUAGGGAGCAAACGGGAUUAGAUACCCCUGUAGUC